rnacentral:rRNA from 2 species
UGGGGAAUUUUGGACAAUGGGCGAAAGCCUGAUCCAGCCAUGCCGCGUGAGUGAAGAAGGCCUUCGGGUUGUAAAGCUCUUUCAGACGGAAAGAAAACUUCUGGGCUAAUACCCUGGGAGGAUGACGGUACCGUAAGAAGAAGCACCGGCUAACUACGUGCCAGCAGCCGCGGUAAUACGUAGGGUGCGAGCGUUAAUCGGAAUUACUGGGCGUAAAGCGUGCGCAGGCGGUGAUGUAAGACAGAUGUGAAAUCCCCGGGCUCAACCUGGGAACUGCGUUUGUGACUGCAUCACUCGAGUACGGCAGAGGGAGGUGGAAUUCCGCGUGUAGCAGUGAAAUGCGUAGAGAUGCGGAGGAACACCGAUGGCGAAGGCAGCCUCCUGGGCCAGUACUGACGCUCAUGCACGAAAGCGUGGGGAGCAAACA